UUACCAAAAUCAUGCUUCGUUCACACUGUUCCUUCUUUUAGCACCUCUGGCUUGUAUCCAUGCUGCUUUCAUUUUUAUUUUCACUAUGUACAUACAGCUUUGUAAUCGGUUCUUCUUUGGAGGAAACACAGUAAACACUGAUACAAGUGCAGCCUGGAGAGAUCCUCUUUCAGUUGUUCCGCCUGGAUUCACCGCAUUUGCUGCCUUCUUGUUUACGUUGGGAUUCAUUUUAGGAACAACCAUAACUAUUGGGAAGUUUUUUCGUGUUUUUUAUCCAGAUGAAAAUCAUCCUCAGAAACAAAACUUUUAGUCAGUCAUGGAUUGAAGAGAAAGCUAAAGAUUGAAUUCAGUAUUAUCAACUAGAGGUCUUUGUUUUUCUUUAUGAUAUGGGAAGUAAAUGGAGGAAUUUAAACAGGUAUUUGUGUGGUCAGGGGUCCCUGAAAGAGAUGACCUGGAGUGGCCAAUGAGAGAAAGCUAUCACCAGUACAGCUUAACACUAGAACAGUUGAAAUAAAAAGCAGAUAAGA
rnacentral:lncRNA from 1 species